AAAAAACUCCACGAAGUUCCAAAAGAAGGAAGAUUCAAAGGAAUCCAGACUUAUCGCAUCAUGUUAGGACAAAGUUAAAGAAUCUAGGGUUGUCUUGGGACACUUCUAAAAAGGAAAGCGAUCCUGUUAACGUUGCUGUCGCUGAAGCUUGACUCGAGACACGCAGCUGCGUUAACUCCAUCGCAGAAGAGGAUGAUGAUAAAGCGUACUAAUGGAGAAGAUAGCGAUAGAUCUGAAACUGUGGUCCCACAAAGUCUUCAAAAGUGGAUAAAGGACUCUUUCUAAGUGACUGCAUUGUCUUUA